ACCCCGCAGCCCUGAGCUGGCGUCCUCAAGUUACCAGCAACCCCACUGGGUGGUCCUGACAAGAUGUGAGUGGCUUUUGUGUCCUCAUCAUCGGCACAGUAAGGGUACGUGAUAACAUGAUCGUUGGCCCCGUGACCAGUUCUCAAGCAAACGGGUCAGCGGCCUUGGGUGUGUGAACAGCGCCAGGAGGUACCAGGACACGGGCUUCCCGCAGAAGGAAGCUGCGCCUGCCAAGCCCACGGCCCCCACCGCCAGCCGCCCAGAACCACCGGCCUGGGCCUGUCUUUAGACAUUUCGCACGCCUGGAAUCCUACCCCGCGUGGCCUCCUGGCUUCUGUCCCUCCCCGAGCUGCAGGUUGGUCCCGGUGGCGGCGGGCGUCAGCGCUUCCCACCUCGUGUGGCCUCGCGGUUGUCGGUUGUCCAGUCCGGCGGCCGGGCUGCGGACCCGCAUCUGCGCCCACGAAGGGGGGUGUGGCUCCCGCACUCUGCCUGGAGAAUCCCGCAAGCACGUGCAGACCUCCCCUGGCAGUGCCCGGGUUCAGUUCUCUGGUGUGGAUACGUCAGAGGGGAACGUCUGCGUCUUAUAGGAAGGGGCUCUCAAGGCUAAACCCCAACAGGGCCACUCCAGUAUCGCCCAGCCUCCCGCAGCCUUCACCCCACUGUUCUGCUUGGCUCUCCUCCAUGGUGCACCCCUGCCCCCACGGCUCCGUGGGUCCCUCCACAGGACCCCAGCCACAAGCCCUAAGUGCUGGUGACCACGGCCAUCCAACGCAGACCUUGCGCCCCAACACCGUGCUCCCUCCCCUGGGGAGCCCUGCCUCCUUGCACGUGAGGAGGCCCAGGUCUGCAUCUCCGGGCGUGUCUUGUGGUACCCAGAACUCAAAGGGCCCCAAACUGGGCUCCUGCCCACCCCUGAUCCCACAAACCUGCAGACCCCAGCAUCCCCAGGGUGUUGCCAUGGCCAGCUGCCCAGCCUCAAGGCUGGGUGGGGUCACCCUUGACUUGUCCUCUUCUUCCUGCUCUCAAGCACAAGUCCUAGGCCUUCCUCCACUGGUCAGACUCUCUAUUUUUCCGCGAGCAGGCCGCCAAAUUCCUCCCCCGAUUCUGCCAGGAGCCAGGGAGCUGGUCUCCCGUGGGUCCCGCCCUCUCCAAACUGUUGUGCACACCCUGCGACCUACCAGUAGGUGGGGCUCCAGGUCCACCCCGUUCCUAAAACACUUCCCAUCUCCCCCGCCCCCGCCCCAUUGCGGGACGCCCUUCCCGAUUCUCCUACCCUGGCCCUUCGGAAUCACUUGGCACCUCAUCCGGGACUGUGUCCCUUGCCAUCAUCCUCCAGACCCGCUCAGCACCUGCCAAGAUGUUGCCUCCUCCAGGAAGACUGCCCUGACCAGUGAGAAAGCCCCGGGGCCCCUCCUUUCCCGCCCAGCCGUGAGAAUCUCAUGGUCUUUUAGGCCUCCUUUGCGGAGCCGUCUCUUCUCUGGCCUGUCAGCCCUGGAGGCACCUCAGGGCGUUGGGCUGAGCGCGUUCCCCGGAGAAGGCACACCUGUGGAUGCCCAGGUGGGGCACAGAGAACGUGUGUCCACAGACGGCUCUUGGGGUCCCAGGAGCUCGUUUUGAAUACCGCGGAACCAUGGUGUGAAGGAGGCUCCUGGAUCCCAGUAAAACCUUCCUGACUCAGGGGACAGUGGUGACUUGGUGGUUCACAGCAACGGGCAUCUGAUGACCAUCUUCCUUUCUCUUUGGGGGCUGGAAGAUGCCAUCAAACCCACAGGUCACAGCACAGGCAGGCCAAGUCCCAAGACUUUGCUCUUUCUUCUGUUCUAAUGUACACAACCACCCGGUGGGCAGGGAUAAGUGAGCUUGGGAACCACGGACCAGAUGUGGAAGGACACAACACCUUCAUGUGGCCCAGGACCUGGCUUGGAACCACUAGAAGGUGCCUCUGUAGUCAGGCCAGGGGCCAAGGAGCCUGGAGCAGGCUGGGGGGUGGAGGGAGGGUCCGAGGGAUGCCCCAUCCCUUUGAGGAGCUUGCAAAGGCAGCCCCUUGAAGGUGGGUAGUAGGACCAGUGUCCCAGCUAGGUCACUACUACCUAGAACAUCCCGGGAAAGUCUCAGUCCGACAAAGAGACCCCCCUCUUCCCCCACCCCGUAGAGACAUGGGGUAUGUCCUGGAUGAAACUGGGAGGCCAAGGGACAGCAAUACAGCAGAGCCAGGAGGAGGAAGUGGAAGACGCCAGCCUGGGGUGGAGGAGAGGGGGCUGCAGGGUCCUCCUGGUGAUCCGCGUGCAUUCCCCAGAGCCGGAAGACAAGGCUGCCAUCCUCCUACAAUGGGUCCCGAGGUCAGAAAGGCAGGUACGGCCCCACAGACCCAGCCCUGCCCUCUUGCAGGGAAUCUUUUCUUCCUUAGUUUGCUUUGAUGUGCAAAAGCUCUUAACAUGGAUGAAGCCCAAUUUAUCUGU